UACGUAGGGGGCUAGCGUUGUCCGGAUUUAUUGGGCGUAAAGAGCGUGUAGGCGGCCAGGUAGGUCUGCUGUGAAAACUCGAGGCUCAACCUCGAGACGUCGGCGGAAACCAUCUGGCUAGAGUCCGGAAGAGGAGAGUGGAAUUCCUGGUGUAGCGGUGGAAUGCGCAGAUAUCAGGAAGAACACCAACGGCGAAGGCAGCUCGCUAGGACGGUACUGACGCUGAGACGCGAAAGCGUGGGGAGCGAACAGG
rnacentral:rRNA from 1 species